GUCUCCGUGGUGCAAUUGGUUAGCGCGUUCGACUGUUAAUCGUAUACAAGCUAAGACUUAAUUUCUGACACAGAAA